GGGGACAGCACACCUAGAAAGUUCCAUCCUAUUCACAUGCUCAAAGCAGCUGUGGAUACUACUGGGUAGAAAGAAAGAUGGACAGGAGGGGAUCCAACUGGUGGAUCACUGUUGGACAGACAGGUGGUCUAAAACAUGGCAGAGGCAUGUCCACCCCACCAAAUACACCACUUGUUCAAGGUCACUGCUGAUGCCCUGAGAGCAGGAAGAGGCUGAGCAGCAUCCAUGGAGGGAUGGACAGGCUCAGACUCUUGGGAGCAGGGCCGAAUGGUCUGACCCUGCAUGGAUGCACCCCUGUGCAAGGUCCUGUCUAUUGCAAGCACCCAGGCUGGCUCCUGGAGACAGGCCAGGUGGUGACCGAUGGGGUCCACCCAGCAGAGAGUCCAGAAUGAGGACCUGUCCUCCCAGAGGACUUGCUCCUUUGGAGCAGCAGUGAUGACUUGGAGCUUAAGUGGCUACACACUGUCUGGUCAGUUCAGAGAUGGACAUGUCCCCUCAACUGCUGGUCCAUCAGCUCAGAAGGACAUGUCCCAGGACCCUGGCUAGCCACAGGUACCCUCCUCAUACUCCCCUUUGGCCCAGCUAGGGUCACAUGUGGGGAGGUGACUCCCCAGCCUUUGGGGUGAAGUGGUUCUGCCAGAUGCACUCCCCAGAUGAAGGGAAACAGUCCCGUCCCACGAAGGACGGGCCUGGGACAGCAGGUCCACGGCCCAGGCAGGGAGCCCAAGUCCAGGAAGGGGCCUAGUGCCCGAUCUGAGCAGAAGUGGGCCCCACCAGGCCCUGUUCCUGCUCCCCCGCCACACCCCCGGCUGAGGCCACCACUCAGGGGCAGACCCGGUUCUGCACACCUGGGUGUAGCUGAG
rnacentral:lncRNA from 1 species